GAAAAUUAAAACUGGGAUAAACUCCCACCCACCGGUAUACGCAGGUGCAAAACCUAUUGGUGGGUGUGGUUUAUUGGCAUUGACACGAAAAUUAAAACCGCGAAAAUUUCUGCUGAGGGCUCUGGGAGCCAAAUAGCGAAAAUUUGCACCCGCGAAAAUUUCCCGCUAUACGGUAUAUUCUAUGAACUGAAAAUUAUGUCACAGGGAACAUCUUAUGCCCAUAAUAUUUUUAUGUCACUAUUAUGUGCUCCAUUAUACAUGUACGUAAGUUACAUUAACAACAAGUGACAACGCCUGCUACCUGUUGUAUACAUCCCAUAAUUUUAUAGUGAGAUGUAUCAUGGUGUGAGAUGGAGACAACAUCCUUUGUACCAGGCACAGUGGGGGGAAGCUCAACUCUUCUUUGUAGGUGACUUUGUAACAUUGAGCCAUCCAUGUAACCUUUCGAUUGGCCCCGUUCGAGCAAAGAUACUGCAAUUUUACACCAAGGCUGUUUGUUGUCCUCCCACUUCAAUUCCAUUGAUAUUGAGAGCAUGCGUCUUUCAGAUGUUCAAGGAGACAUGUGGGGGGCUCCCGGUGAUGACGAUACAAGCGGCAACCGCAGUAAAAAAGUGGAAUAAGUUUGAUUGCUGGUUCCCAAAACUUAUAGGCAUAGACGGAAGAGAGUAGAACAGCUUCGCUGAUCGUUCGAGGUACGUAAUGCGUCCAGUGAGCGAUCUUUCUUGUGUGAGCAUCUUUCUUGUAUGAGCUUUUAGCAUUGUAGAUGCCCUCAGACCAACCACGCCAGCAUUCACUUUCUGCUGCAGAGUGUGCUUUCCCAGUGGUACUGCAUGGUGUAUCGUCGCAGCUUCUUCCUGCUUUCUUCCUGCUUCCUGAACUGGAACAAUCUUUGCUGACAAAUGCAACUUUCAUUUCGAUUCUUCGACACCUUUUCGUGAUAUAUGUAUUUGCCGUCGCCACGUUGUAAUUCACUGAGUUAUGACCUUUUACUUUUAGUGUAUUCAAAUUCAUGAAAUCUUCUUCCAACACCAUCAGAAUGCAAUAAUGCAAUUUGUUCCGACAGGGUUUGAAGACGCCACAAAGCAGGGUGGAUAUUGAGCUCCGACAAAGAAUUUAGAAAGCUGGUUGUUGAUGGUGUCUGGUCAGUGCACUGCAGGAAGUCUUCAGGAACUUGGUCUUCAGGGUGAAUGGCAAGAUUUCCAGGACCAGUGUGCUGGUAGAAAACGAGACUGGGGGA